GAUGAACGCUGGCGGCGUGCCUAAUACAUGCAAGUCGAGCGAACGGACGAGAAGCUUGCUUCUCUGAUGUUAGCGGCGGACGGGUGAGUAACACGUGGAAAACCUACCUACAAGACUGGGAUAACUUCGGGAAACCGGAGCUAAUACCGGAUAAUAUUUUGAACCGCAUGGUUCAAAAGUGAAAGACGGUCUUGCUGUCACUUAUAGAUGGAUCCGCGCUGCAUUAGCUAGUUGGUAAGGUAACGGCUUACCAAGGCAACGAUGCAUAGCCGACCUGAGAGGGUGAUCGGCCACACUGGAACUGAGACACGGUCCAGACUCCUACGGGAGGCAGCAGUAGGGAAUCUUCCGCAAUGGGCGAAAGCCUGACGGAGCAACGCCGCGUGAGUGAUGAAGGUCUUCGGAUCGUAAAACUCUGUUAUUAGGGAAGAACAUAUGUGUAAGUAACUGUGCACAUCUUGACGGUACCUAAUCAGAAAGCCACGGCUAACUACGUG
rnacentral:rRNA from 1 species